UACGGAGGAUGCAAGCGUUAUCCGGAAUGAUUGGGCGUAAAGCGUCCGUAGGUGGCGAUUCAAGUCUGCUGUUAAAGCGCAGGGCUUAGCCCUGUAAAGGCGGUGGAAACUGGAGAGCUAGAGUGUGGUAGGGGUAGAGGGAAUUCCCGGUGUAGCGGUGAAAUGCGUAGAGAUCGGGAAGAACACCAGUGGCGAAAGCGCUCUACUGGGCCACAACUGACACUGAUGGACGAAAGCUAGGGGAGCGAAUGGG
rnacentral:rRNA from 1 species